UACAUUCCUCCCAGACAAAGCCAUCUCUGAAAGGUUCCUAGGUGGAUCUCCAGUAUUGUCAGUGGCUUUUAUUGGGAGGAACCAGGCUCCUUCAGAAAUGGCCAUGGAUGUCCCUGAAGUCCAGAAGACAGUGUUCGGUACCAGAGUCUUCACGAGGAACCCACUGGCUCUUGUCGGGAGAUCCAUAGUUUAUAGCAAUAGAAUUACUCUAGGAAUAUAUGAUCGGCCAUCCCUUUUCUGUGGUGGUGGAGAAAUGGUUAUUACAUGUCC